rnacentral:lncRNA from 1 species
AAUUAUAUUAUAUUAAUUUUAAUAAAUAAUUUAUUUUAUCAUUUAUCAAAAUUAUAUCGAUCUUUAAAUUUUUUAGAGGAUAACUCAUUGAAAAAAUAAAAAAAUGUGUUAAUAACUAUAUUAAUUUUAAUAUUUUAUUUACCAUAUAUAUAUAUAUAUAUAUAUAAUUUUUCAAGUAUACAAAGACUUCAUAAAAAUUAUAUUAUAUUAAUUUUAAUAAAUAAUUUAUUUUAUCAUUUAUCAAAAUUAUAUCGAUCUUUAAAUUUUUUAGAGGAUAACUCAUUGAAAAAAUAAAAAAAAUGUGUUAAUAACUAUAUUAAUUUUAAUAUUUUAUUUACCAUAUAUAUAUAUAUAUAUAUAUAUAUAUAUAUAUAUAUAUACAUUUAAGUUCAUAUAAAAAAAUUUACAAAAGACAUUAAAAAAUAAGGUAAAAUUAAAAAAACUACCCUGUGGUUUGACAUUUUUACAUUUGAGAAACAGUAUUUUUCGUGUCAAAGAAGUCACAUAUGUCUUAUUUUAUUAGUAUUUUUUAGAUAUAUUCAAUGUUUUUCUCAUUUCUUAAAUUAUAAAUUCUAAUAGAAAUAUAAAUAUUUGGAUAAAAGAAGUAUUUUUAAUUAAUUUAGCGUUCGAUUAGAUAUUUUAUGAUCAUAACAAAUUGUUAAAAUAUAUAUUUUUUAAUUUUAAUCAAAUUUGAGAAAUAAUAUUCUUAAAUAAAAUUUUAAUAAAUUAUAAAAAUUAAUAUUUAUAUUAAAAAUUAUAUAUUGAGUUAAUACUUCUAUAUUCAUAAAGAAUAAAUUUUUAUCCACGCAUUGUAUAAUUGUUAUAAUUAUUUUAAUUUUAAAUAAUAAUAUAAAUUGAAUUAAUAGAUAAAACUAAAUAGAAUUUUUAGUAUUUUAUAAUUAUUUAUAAUAUUUUUAUAAAUAAUNNNAAGAU